UGGCCAAAUUUAGCAUUCAUUUUUGUUUGUGUGUUAAAAAUACAAAAAAACAAUUAUGAAUGCUAACUUUGGCCA